CUGCCUGGCUAUUUUUAGCCCUGAUUGCCUUUGGCCUUGGUGUAGGUGGAACUCUGCUGGGGGGUUGGUUCCUCAGGGCAGCUGGAGAAUUCGAGGUGCUGAGGCAGGCAGCCCAAGGGCCAACAGGCUGUCCCGGCUGGCGGGGUGGGCAGGGCGGGCGCCUUCUCCCUCCUCACAGCCAUGUAAGGCGACCACAUUCUUUCUCAGCCCGCCCUCUCCAUUCCUGCCUUCUCAAACCUCUAGGGGAUGGGCUGCCCAGGAAUGUGAGCACCAGGUUGACAACUGCUGCUGCUCCAGGAGGGGCAGGAACACCCUGUUCAUGCCAUGCUCCUCAAACCAUCUCGUCUCUGACAAGCCACCUGCCCUGGAACAGGCCUGGGCUCAACACCCAGCAUCUGCUCCUCAGAAAGUUGAGAGGGACCAUUCAGUGAAGACCAGGGCAGGAUGGCACCUCUUUCUGCCCAGGAGCGUGGUGUGGAAAGAGCAUUGGAGCUCCCCUCUGCAGCCUUCCAAAGGCAAGGCCUAGGCAUGGGCUGCUCCCUGGUGGCCAGACAGGGAAGGACUCAUUCCUCUUUAUAGGUAAGGCAGGUGGGAUCCUAGGGGGGUUGUCACAGGUAGGGAACUGAAUUGGCAGGGCAGAGGGCCAAGCGAUCUGAAGGGUGCACAGGCAGAGGGCAGGCUGGCAGGAACGAAAGAGAUAAGAGAGGAGUGGAGAGCGUGGACAAUUUGUUUCACACACAGUAAAUGAAAAAGCAAUGAAAUGUGUCAUAUGGUAAAGGGAUCAAACCGUACAGUUCAGUUCAGUCGCUCAGUCGUGUCCAACUCUUUGUGACCCCAUGAAUUGCAGCACGCCAGGCCUCCCUGUCCAUCACCAACUCCUAGAGUUCACUCAAACUCACGUCCAUCAAGUCGGUGAUGCCAUCCAACCAUCUCAUCUUCUGUUGUCCCCUUCUUCUCCCACCUUCAAUCUUUCCCAGCAUCAGGGUCUUUUCCAAUGAGUCGGUUCUUCACAGCAGGUGGCCAAAGUAUUGGAGCUUCAGCAUCAGCCCUUCCAAUGAAUAUUCAUGACUGAUUUCCUUUAGGAUGGACUGCUUGGAUCUCCUUGCAGUUGAAGGGACUCUCAAGAGUCUUCUCCAGCACCACAGUUCAAAAGCAUCAAUUCUUCACUCAGCUUUCUUUAUAGUCUAACUCUCAUAUCCAUACAUGACUCCUGGAAAAACCAUAGCUUUGAAUAGACGGACCUUUGUUGGCAAAGUAAUGUCUCUGCUUUUUAAUAUGCUGCCUAGGUUGGUCAUAACUUUUCUUCCAAGGAGCAAGCAUCUUUUAAU
rnacentral:lncRNA from 1 species